AAAAAAAAAAUCGUCAAUGAGUGGGUAAGCUAGUUCAUCCCAGUCAUCUUGUGCAGACGAUAACCCAAAAACCAAUAAAUGCAAUCAUUUUAUACAUCCCCAAAUUAAAUGGGCAUAUAAUAAGGUCAAACUGAUCGAAAGCUGGCAAACUUUCAUGCACCAGAUCAAUCAAGAAGGUAGCUUUGAUUAGCCAUAGACAUUUCUGGUACCCGCUUUAUAUGAACAACAACUUAAGCUGGUACCGCCAGGAGAAGCAUGAUGUGAUGGGGUUAGAUUAGCAUGUAGUGAGGCGCCACAGCUAGUAAAGGUCUGCCAUUAUUACACUAGUUUAAGAAGUGGCAUUUAUACAAUAAAUUACCUCCGAGUGUAAAUUUGUUGUCUGGCAGAGAAGUCUAGUGUACAGUUGUGAUCCAUAUUGCAACAAAUCCAGUUAAAACUGGGCACGCCUAUGCAACUAUCUACGGAGAUAAUGCAGGGAUUUACAAUACCAAUUAUCAUUAUUAUUUCUAAUUGUUUAAAUUGAGCAUCUACAUGUAGGUCUUAAAACUAGACACGAUUACUUUAAAAUGGAAAAGGCUUUCCUCCCACGUGGUAGGUUAAAGACUAGAUAAGCAUGCUGCUCUUCCACUAUGACUUCCAACAACCUCAAAGGAUGCCAGUUCCUCAUUUUCCACUUUUCUCUUGUGAGCCAAAACAGUUAGUUACAUCACAAAAAAAGUCAAUGGGUUUGUUACUCUGCAGUCAAAUCUGACUGACACCAACAAAGCAUGCAAGACCAGAUUUAAGAAAGAGGUACUGCAAUAACCAGGCAGCCGUGCUCAUCUCAGGAUACUGUAGUGUGAAGCAGAUGAGAGUGUACAGUGCCCCCUGGGCAGAAUGCCAGUCCAUUACAAGGUAUUCCCUCCAGCCAAGGUUGGUACUCAUUUUCAGCUGGGUGAACUGGGACAUUUCAGAUGAUGUGUCUUGCCAAAGCGUGAGGUGGACUAACUCUUCUCACACUGAGCUACCUGCUCUGCCUCAAUGCAAGGAUAAGGUAGUAAACCAACGACCAUCCAGCGAUGGUCUAGGUCAGGGGUUGAUGUCCACUUACAUGGCAUGUCAAUAAACAGGCUUGAUUCAUUCAGAAUCAGAAGGAAAAAACAAAAAAACAGGACCUCAAGUGAGCACUAACUGAGUGGAUUGUUAUUAUUCUACAUUCACAAUCCUGAGUAACUGCAAGCUGCUUUGCUAGAUGGCUUAACGGUUGCUGAAUGGAACCAGUUCAUGAAGAAUAAAAAAUGUUUUUGGUCAAAGAUGGAAAAACUGGCAUUGAGGGAAUAGUUUUGCUGUGCCCCAUCUUCAGGUGGUCAAAAUCCGAUGGCUCUUGAGGCUACGGCAUGAGCCCUAGGAAUUAGAUCGGGAAGAAACACUAGAAAUCAACACAAAGCCAUUUGUUACUUCAUCCAGUGAUGAGAUUACAACAGCUUCUCUGCCUCUACUCUCAUGAUGUUUAAAAUCAAGUCAAUCCUUUACUUAAAUCGUCACAGUCAUCAACCCAUCUGAACAUCUACAGAAAAUUUUGGGCCAAAUAGUCCCUCCCCCAACACCAUCAUCAUCAUCAUCAAAACACUAAAUGAGAAAAUAUCUUCAGUUGGGAUCAUGUAUCUCUCCCAAACAGUACUGAAGCUAUUUCUGCUUGUUGGUCUUUGUGUGUGUAUCAAUCUGGAAAGACAAUUAUAUUUGUGACAUUUUUCUUAAAGCAUUAAGCCACUGAAUUGCACUGUUAUAUUUUAACAAGGCAUUGAUUGUACACUUUUCUAGAAUCUGCAAAAAGAGACAGAUGAGCACUGAAGUAUCA